rnacentral:rRNA from 1 species
UACAGAGGGUGCGAGCGUUGUUCGGAAUUAUUGGGCGUAAAGGGCGCGUAGGCGGUGCGGCAAGUCACCUGUGAAACCUCUGGGCUUAACCCAGAGCCUGCAGGCGAAACUGCCGUGCUGGAGUGUGGGAGAGGUGCGUGGAAUUCCCGGUGUAGCGGUGAAAUGCGUAGAUAUGCGGAGGAACACCGAUGGCGAAGGCAAUCCCCUGGGCCUGCACUGACGCUCAUGCACGAAAGCGUGGGGAGCAAACAGG